rnacentral:sRNA from 1 species
CUCAACCGCAAGGAGGGGGAUGCCUAAGGCAGGGCUAGUGACUGGGGUGAAGUCGUAACAAGGUAGCCGUACCGGAAGGUGUGGCUGGAUCACCUCCUUAAAGGGAGACCUAAUUCAGGUAGGAGACGAAAAAAAAGUAGUCCCUACUAAGAAUCAAUCCCAAAAGGUCGGAGCGAGGCAAAAUUGGCUUUCAAACUAGGUUCUGGGUUCACACAAGACCUGAAUCAGGAACAAGGGCUAUUAGCUCAGGUGGUUAGAGCGCACCCCUGAUAAGGGUGAGGUCCCUGGUUCGAGUCCAGGAUGGCCCACCUGUACAGGUGGCAAAAAGAAAGAAAAGAAGCGAGGAAUCAGCACCUUAUCUUACUUAUAUAGUAAGAGAGAAUGCUGGCUCUGAGUUCAGAGUCCAGAGGAACCUUGAAAACUGCAUAGAGCUAGGUGAAAAAGCCAAAAAAGAAGACCGCAAGGUCAAGCUAAUAAGGGCUAACGGUG